AGUUGGAGCCAGACAGCGGGGUGGACAAGUGGCGUGUGUGCUGCGACCCCGAGGGAAGAUGAACGGGACGCGGAACUGGUGUACCCUGGUGGACGUGCACCCAGAGGACCAGGCGGCGGUAAGAAAAAGCGCUCUCGCUGUCUUCUCCGUUUUGUAUUCCCGGUUUCUAAGUCCGCCCCUUCCGUGCCCCGCGCCGUGUUGGCUGACAUCACCUGGUGCCCGGCUCGCGCGGUCAGCCCUGCGCGGCGCUUCUCUCUUUUUAUUCUUUUGCCUGCGACGGGCAGUGGGAGUCGCGGGGUGAAGACUCCUUUGAGGCUGGAGGGUUCGGGGCGUCCCUGCCCUUUGGUAGGACACUGCGGCUCCUGCCUGGGACUCGGCGCCGGCGAGCCCGUGCUUGGGCCGCGGGUCUCAGGCGUCUUUUGGGCAGCCACAUUGGGUCAUAAGAGAAUGAGCUCAAGCGACUGGGUCCCUGAGCGCCUUUGGACGUUGUGUCCUGCCGAGGAGGCUUAGGCUUUCCCGUGGGUCGAGGGUCCUGGUGACCUCCGAGGCCCUCCAAAGAAUUUCAUCAUGGUGCUUUGGAUGAUCAGUAACAAGAAAAAUGGUAGAGUAAAUUACAGGGCUUGGACUGGAGGGCGGGGGGCAAGUAGGGGACGGUAGGACUCAAACUAUUCCGAGAUUGGCUAGGGACUCUACCUUUCGCUAAGGGAUAGGGCUUUCCGCCCGGGGGUCACCUCUUGUCUUGGAUUUCUCCUUCUUCCCCCUUGUAGUUCUCUUGUUUUCCUCCCUCUAUCUGCCUGCCGAUAGCUUCCUGGGACGGUGUGUUAGUUUUGCUUCCGUCUCCAGCCGCCAGGCCCUGGGAUAGUGGAGGAAGGGGAUGCAGAACCCGGGCCGAGAAGGGGAGGGAAGUGACCCAAGCGAAGGCUUCUGGACGGGGAGAGGGUUGCGGAGAAAGGGGGCGUUCUCCAGUGCAGGCUGGUCUACCCCUCUCUCCUCUUUCUCUGGCUCCCAGUCCCAGUUCUCCCCACCCUAGCUGACCAUAUGGUUUUUCCUCUCCAGAGGCUGAGGAGGGUAAUUUGUGGCUGAGUGUUUCUAGGCUCUUUUGGGGAACUUAACCCAGAUUAGGUGUGUACUAUUUCAUCAAUUUCCAAGCUAUUGUGGGUGGGAGUGAAAUGAAAACUAAGGUGAUGGGGAACUUGUGUAUCAUCCCCCCUCCCACAUCUGACUCCCUUACUCUCUGCCUGCCUCAUCCUGCUCUUGAGGUAGAGCUAACCCAACUGCAGCUAGAUUAUGGCUCUUCUUCAAACUCAUUUCAGGUUUAGAAUACAGAUGGUCAUUUAGUUCUUUUCCCAGUCCCCUCUCCAUUUCUGCCUGGGCUAUGAGUGUUUUUGCCACAUUAAAAUACAGAUGUUGCUAUUGGCCAACCCCAGUUGCCCAAACCCCAUUCUUCUGUAGCCUGCCACAUCCCCAGCUAUGAGACUCUGAAGAGAUGGAAGAAAUCUAUCCAUUAUGUGUCAGCCACAAGUCCUACUCCCUGCUCUUUGUUUUUAAGCGACGAGUGUCUUGCUAUGUUGCCGGAGCUGCAGUACAGUGGCUCUUCACGGGUGCAAUCAUAGCACACCACAGCCUUGAACUCCUGGCCUCAAUCCUUCUGCCUCAGCCUCCUGAGUAGCUGGGACUUCAGAUGCACACCACCUAUAGCUUCUCUUCCAUGCUCUUGCUCUCUCUUUUGGAAUAGUUGAGGGAAAAGGGUAUGAGAUAAAUAAAGGAGAGGGAUGUUUGGGCUGCUUUUUGCUUGCUUGCUAUAUAGAAAAGAGAUCCGGAAAGAAGUCUAAGACCAAGUUGGCACUGGCAGUGUUAAUGAAUCAUUAACCUCUACUAUUUUUUUUCUUUCUUCCUUUCUUUUCUUUUCUCUUUUCUUUUCUCUUUUUUUGAGACAGGGCCUUGCUCUGUUGCCCAGGCUGGAGUGCAAUGGCAUGAUCUCAGCUCACUGCAACCUCCACCUCCUGGUUUCAGUAGAUCCUCCUACCUCAGUCUCCCCAAGUAGCUGAGACUGUAGGCACAUGCCACCACACCUGACUAAAAUUUUUUUUUUUUUUUUCUGUUGGUAGAGAUGGGAUUUCACCAUGUUGCCCAGGCUAGUCUCGAACUCCUGGGCUCAAGCAGUCUGCCCACCUUGGCCUCCCAAAGGCUUGGGAUUACAGGCAUGAGCCACUACAUCUGGCCCCUUUUACUCUUUCUUGAUGUUUUUGCUCUUUGUCUGGUGGGGCAGAAAAAAUUACUAAGAGAAAAUAAUGGACAAGGAAUUCAGAUGGUCUCCAUCAUAGGUUAGUUUGAAGCUAACCAGAGACCUCUAGAGCAAGGGAGAGACAGAAAUUCCCUUUUAUUCCUUUUUUCUAGGCUGAACUUGAGACUUAUUUUACUCCAGAGCUGGGAAUGAAGUAAUCAUUGCCCAGAUCUGAUCUUGGAGACAUUCCUGGGCCCUUAAGGGAGGGGAGGAGAUGGUGAACAGUCGGGACACAGGCCUUGUCCUGGAUUCCUCUUCUCUGAGCCAACUUGCAGACAGAAUUUAUGGCUCUGGACAACCCCCAGGAAUCUGUCAUAUAUUCACACCACUGAAUGGGUGCUCAAUUCAUGUGCAAAGUGAGUCAAUAAAUAAAUGAACAGAUGUUUCUUCCGGAGUCAGAAUGUAGACAGUUGAACUGAUUAGAGAUCCUACUGGGAGUGAGGGCCCUGGGACUCUGUUGGUGUUUCCCCACUAGCCAGGCAGUGUGCCUUAGCGUAUCACAUGUGGACAUGGACAUAGGGCCAAUACACUCUCUGGGAUGUUUUUAUUGUUGGAGGCAGAUGCAGCAGGUACAAGGAGCCAGUGUUUUUCAGAACUGCAGACCAUAACCAGUAGUGGGUCUGAGAUCAACUUAGUAGGUCAGACCAGUAUUAAAAAAGAAAUAGAAUUAACACUCUUAGAGUGUUAGUGAGGAUAGACAUUUUUGGUAGAACUUUUAUUUCAGUUAUAUAUAUAUGUGUGUGUGUGUGUGUGUGUGUGUGUGUGUGUAUUAUAUAUGUACGUGUUUGUUUACUGGGUCUUGAUGUGAAAUAUGUUUUUGAGAUUGAAAAGUUUUGCAAGCCACUGUGGUAAGUUAUAUUGGCAAAUAAAAGAACAAAUAAACACCAAACUCCUUUUUACUAGAUAUUUCCAUUAACUUCCUUUGGUUAUAAACAACAGAGAAUGACUCCAGCUAAACUAAGCAGAUGAGGAAAUUAUUAGAAGGAAAUAGAGCAGUUCACAGAAUUUAAGGGAAAGCUUAGAAAGCCCUAACCAAGGAUGUUCUGGGGCCUGGGUAAGUGGAACGAUGGAGGCUUACUACUAUUGGUGAAUUGGUUCCAGCUGUUUUAGGUCUCUGCACCAUUAUGCUCAAGAUUCCAGGGAGAGAGUACCAUUGUCCCUUGGCCCCCAGUUGUCCAGAGCAGGACAGGGUUCCUUGACUGAUAGGCCCCCCCCAGAUUACAGUGAUGGAAGGAGAUUCUCCAAAGACCCAAGUGUUGUUAUCAGUGGAGGGGAAUGGAAGCUGCGUGGCAAAAGAACAGAUGUCUAUGACAUUAGACUUUACCAUGGAUGAUCUCUGAUUUCAUUUCCCUCCUUCCCUCUCUUCCUUCUUUCCAUCCUUCUUUAAAUCACUUUUUUUUUUUUUUUUGAGACAGGGUCUCACUCUGUUGCCCAGGCUGGAGUGCAGUGGUGUGAUCAUAGCUCACUGCAGCCUUGAACUCCUGGACUCAAGGGAUCCUUUCACCUCAGCCUCCCAAGUAGCUGGGACCACAGGCAUACUCAACAUGUUUAGCUAAUUUUUCAUUUUUCGUAGAUAUGGGUUCUCACUAUGUUGCCCAGGCUAGUCUUGAACUCCUGGUUUAAAGUAAUCUUCCUGCCUCGGCCUCUCAAAGUGCUGGGAUUACAGGUGUGCACCACUGCACCUGGCCUUAAAUCACCUUUUUUUUGGGCGGUGGGAGGGGGAGGAUGGAGUCUCACUCUGUCACCCAGGCUGGGGUGCGGUGGCACAAUCUUGGCUCACUGCAACCUCCAUCUCCCUGGUUCAAGCAAUUCUCCUGCCUCAGCCUCCCGAGUAGCUGGGAUUACAGGCAUGGGCCACCAUGCCCAGCUAAUUUUUGUACUUUUACUAGAGAUGGGGUUUCAUCAUGUUGGCCAGGCUGGUCUCAAACUCCUGACCUCAAAUGAUCUGCCCGCUUCGGCCUUCCAAAGUACUGGGAUUACAGGCGUGAGCCACCGUGCCUGGCCUCUUAAAUCACUUUUUAUCAAAGGAGUUUCACUCUUGUUGCCCAGGCUGGAGUGCAACGACGUGAUCUCGGACAUUUAAAAUCACAUAUGUGCAUGAUUUUAAAGUAUCAAAGUAUCAAUAAUAUCAAAAGGCUUUUAAAAGAAAAUAGCAGUCCCCUGCUCCAAGUUCUGCUCCAUGGAAGUAACCACUUUCUACUCUUUGAGCUGUUUUGUGUUUACCUCCAUGUUUCUAAAUAAUAUGCUUACAGUGAUUUUAAUUGAUUUAUCAGUUUUAGACAUCUAUUGACUUCUGUUGUAGGAAUUAUAGGAAAAUCUAUACUCCCACCCCUGACAUGCUUCCUUCCCAUCCUCCCAGUGUAAUUGUAUUACAAUUUUUGGUAAUGUAAUAAACUAGUUUCUGUUAAUAGCAUUGUGGUCAAGAGCAUGGCUCUGGGCUGAGUGCAGUGGCUCACGUCUGUAAUCCCAGCACUUUGGGAGGCUGAGGCAGGUGGAUCACCUGAGAUCAGGAGUUCGAGACCAGCCUGACCAACAUGGCAAAACCCCAUCUCUACUAAAAAUACAAAAUUAGCCAGGUGUGGUGGUGCGCACCUAUAAUCCCAGCUACUUGGGAGACUGAGGCAGGAGAAUCAUAUGUACCCAGGAGGUGGCGGUUGCAGUGAGCCGAGAUCACGCCAUUGCACUCCAGCCUGGGCAACAAGAGUGAAACUCCGUCUCAAACAAACAAAAAAAAGAGCAUGGCUCUGGGAAUCUGACUAAGGUGGGCUCUAAUCAGGCUUUGAUGUCUGCUUUGCCCAAGCUCACUUAGGCAAAUUACUUAAUUUCUUCAUUCUUAGUUUUCUCACUUGUAAAACUGGGAUAAUAAUUGCACCCUUCUCAUAAGGUAGUUGUGAGGAUUAAAUUAGAUAAUACACAUAAAAUAUGAAGCACAGUGCCUGGCAUGUGGUAAGUACUCAGAGGUUAGCUAUUAUUUUCUAUUUCUACUGGCUUAGACUAGACUGUUUUAACCUCCUAUAAGCAACCAGCCAAGGGAUGGAGGAAGAGUCUGGGAACUCUCUGGUUUGGGCAAGGUUUGCUCCUCCUCAUUAUGCUGACUUUUGUUUAUUCCUGUUUCUUUCUCGUUUCCUUGAUGAUCCAGGUCCCUCAACCAGUGGAGAGUCCCAGGGGUGAGAGGAAGGCCUACAGAUAGACCCAGGGUGAAGACCUGAGUAACCUUUGCUAGUCCUGACUCAGCCAGUACUGGUCUUAGACUGGUGAUGGGUCAGGGUUCAUAUUUUGGCAUCUCUCUCUGGGCAUCUUUCCUCUUCUUUUUUAGACCUCAUGACCAAGGCAGCUGGUGUCCCCUGCUGCUCUGGUUUCUUUAAGUAAUAUAUCAGUUUUAUCUUUCUUUCGAAUAUUUGCAUUUUUUUCUUUUUUUUUUUUUUCUACAGCAUCUUUUUAUUGUCUUUACCAUUACUUUAAUGCAUUUUAAAAUUUAUCUACAUUAAUUGGGAACUAUUUGCAUUUUUUUCAUCCUCUCUCUCUUUUUCUUUUUCUUUUUUUGGAUUUGUCUUGGCCAGAGAGGUUCUCCAACACCCGGGUGGACUUGGAAUUUUUUUAUCAGCUGCAAUCUGAAGACUUGUCUUUACUGUGGAAUAGGUGACAUUCCUUUAGGACCUCAGAAGCUCAAGUAGUUUAAUGCCAAGUCUUUCCAGAGCCUCACUCUCUUUUAUUUUUUAAAUUAGAAUUGUGAUUUAUUGAAGCCUUACCAUGAGCUUCAUAUAAUUUUUUAUGAACAGCUUUAUUGAGAUAUAAUUCAUAUACCCCAUUUAAAGUAUGUAACUCAGUGGUUUUUAGUACAUUCACAGAGUUGUGCAAUCAUCAAUAAAUCAAUUUUAGAACAUUUCCUUACCUUAUAAAGAAAUCCUGACCCAUUAGCAGUCACUCCCCAUUUCCCCCCAAUCUCUCUCAGCCCUAGGCAGCCACCAGUCUACUUUUUUUCUCUAUGGAUUUACCUAUUGUGGAUAUUUAAUAUAAAUGUAAUCAUCGGUAUGUGAUCCUUUGUGACUGGCAUCUUUUAUUAGAAUGAUGUUUUCAAGGUUCAUCCAUGUUGUAAUGUGAAUCAGUACUUCAUUCCUUUUUAUGGCUGAAUAAUAUUCCAUUAUUUAGAUGUAUUACAACUGUGUUCGUCAUGGAUAAAUGUUGGUGGACAUUUGGGUUCUUUCUACUUUUUGGCUAUCAUUUAUAAUGCUGCUACGAACUUUGGUGUACAAGUUUUUGUGUGGAAAUAUAUUUUCAUUUCUCUUGGAGAGGAAUACCUAGGAGUGGGAUUGCUGGGUCAGAAUAUUUGCAUUUUAAAGGAGGAUUCAUCUGUAGCCAUUGCUGCUUACUCCAGAGGACUGAAUGUAUUCUAAAAUGUGGAAGUCCUGGUUCUGUGACAUCUGAGUGUGGGGAAAAACUGCUGGGCAGAGGAGCCUUUCAAGUUUGGUGGCUGCCUGUUCCUUCUACUCAUGAAACUUGUCCUAAACUCAGCCCAUAAAUUUCUCCUCACACCAUCCCAUCUCUCCCAUUUAUUGCCAGGUUCUUACUUUCAGGAGCACUGCAUUUUUCUGAUGUCACCAAGGCUGCCAGGAAUUUGGGGAAUGCUGGGCUUUGCCAGAGAAGGAGGGAUCUCCUCUGAGCGAGGAGAGUUACCUCAUCAUCAGGCAUUUGGCACUAACAUUUGCCCAUAGUUCUCCAGGGUGGAGGGGGGCGUGCACCCAGAUGGUUUCAGUUCCAGACACGUGUGCUCAGAGAGGUGGGAUGAGCUUCCUUGCCUGCUAGUAAUUAUGGUGCAUGCCUCUUUGGGUCAAGGUGCAGAGGCUUGUGAAAUACCUUUGUUUUCUAGGGGUUGGGAAGGUUCAGUUGCGGAAAUAGGUAUGUGCCAGGAAGGCUGGUGGCCCAGAUUUAAGCCUGGCCAGCAGAGGCAGGAAGUGGAGGAGACAAUAUAGGGUAAGAAGGGGAUGAGUCGAUGAAGGAAGAAAAGAGACGUGGUUUUCUUGGGUCUGGGAGCACAGAAGCAAAAAUCACUAAGCAGGUAGUCAGAGACUAGAGAGGGCAGAGCCACUCCCUUUGAUGCAGAGGGGGCACUGAGGAACUUGCCCUUUCAUUCCAGGUUUGCUGGUCGCUAGGCAGGUGUCCUAGAGUGAGACUGGCUUAGCAAGUGGGUGUCUCCUUCAGAGUUGGUUCAGGAGCUCACUUCCCUCUACAGACACACUGUCACUGCUAGGCCCUAGUGUUUUCCUUUGUUAGGGCUCCAAGUAAUGAGAAAGGCUGCCCCAUGUAGGGUGCCACCUCAAAUCCUUUUUCUCAUUUCACCUCACAGUAACCCUGGUGAGCCCUCUACAUAGUGCCUGUCCAGCCCAUGCCUCUGGGUAGGCAGCCACAUAAAAAUCAAACACCUGUUUUGUUGGCUAAUCUGGGGAGGAAGAAAGGGAGUGAUUCUUUGUGUCAUACUCCACAAAGGGCCAUCUCUGGCCUAGGCAGCACUGCAGAAGGCAGGACCAUGUACCUGAGACUGAUGAGCUGAGUCGGGUGCGAGCCUCACUCAAGGAGAGGGUAGAGAGGGUAGGUACCCACCUAUCCCAUCCGGCUCUGUUCUUUGAGUUUAUGGGACUUCCUUCAUCCUGAUCACUUGGGUGCCAUUGUUACAAGGGGCUGGCUAUUCCUACUUUUCUUUUUUCUUUUUCUUUUCUUUUUUUUUUUUUUUUGAGACGGAGUCUUGCUCUGUCACCAGGCUGGAGUACAGUGGCCCAAUCUUGGCUCACUGCAGCCUCCACCUCCCAGGUUCAAGUGAUUCUCCUGCCUCAGCCUCCCAAGUAGCUGGAGCUACAGGCGUGCGCCACCACGCCCAGCUAAUUUUUGUAUUUUUAGUAGAGAUGGGGUUUCAUCCUGUUGGCCAGGAUGAUCUCAAUCUCUUAACCUCGUGAUUCGCCUGCCUUGGCCUCCCAAAGUGCUGGGAUUACAGGCUUGAGCCUCCGUGCCCAGCCUCCCAUUUUUCAAAGUGGGGAAAAGGGUGAAGAUGAAUUAAGGUUGCUGGUUUCCAGCUCAGGGGCAAUCUCCACUUCCUUUACUUCCUCUUAGAAAGAACCUUACACUUGACUCCUACCCAGUCCUAGUGACCCCUGUAAAACCUGGGGAGUGAGAGCUGGGGGAACGCAGGCUUUUCCCUAUUCACAUGAGCCUGUGGUGUGAGAACUCUGCACCUCUCUCCUUAUUUCCCUGGGGCCUCCCUGUUUAUCUCCUUAUCUCUGCUGUGGCGUCUUGAUCUCUAACCCCUCAGCUAUGUGUUUACCCCCUCCCUGCUUUGAGGAGUGAGUCAGGGUUGGAGAUUUGUUUGAACAGAGUGGUGAGGCUGCCUAUAAUUUGGAGGUAGCUGGGCUUCUCCCAAAAAUGUUUAUGAGGUUAGAGGCUGCUUACCUUGUGAUUAGUACUGCUCCUUUUUCCCUAGAGAAGAAGGCUCCACUUCUCAUCUUGCCUUUUAGAGUACCCAGUAGAGACCCCCCUGCCGGAUAUUUUUGGGGUGUUCCUAAAGCUCCCUGGAGCCUGCUCAUAGUCCUGAGGAAAUGCAAGCCUGCUCUAGAAAACAACUAAGUGCACCAGGCAGAGAGGAGCCCCAGGAUUUGCUCCUUGACUCUGGGUUGGGGGUGCAGGCCGAGGUCUGUGGCCUUGCUGACUAAGAUGCAUUCUCCAGUUCUGGAGGAUGAGGUGCCAGAGAGAGCCCUAAGUUUUUCAUCAGCUCCAUUAGACAAUUUACCUCAUCCACCCUCUUCCCUUGCAGACUUUCCAGAGCUACUUGGGAAAGUAAUGCUGCUUCACCCUUGUGAAGAGAUGUAUGGUUUGCAAAUCACUUUUACAUCAUUCUUGCACAUCUAUCUACUCUUCCUAAAAUGUCGGUUGUGAAAUUAUCACCCUCAUUUUACAGACAGAAAACUGAGGCCCAGAGAGAUUAAGUGAUUUGCUCAAGGAUUAAUGGUCAUCAAUCAGGACUCAGACAUCCUGCCUCUGACUUCAAGUUUAGUACUUUGUUUUGAAACAGAGUCUCGCUCUGUCACCUGGGUUGGAGUGCAUGGCACAGUCUUGGCUCACUGCCGCCUUGACCUUAUGAGCUCAAUUGAUCCUCUCACCUCAGCUUCCCUAGUAGCUGGGACUGCAGGUGUGCACCACCACACCAGGCUAAUUUUUGUACUUUUUGUAGAGACAGGGUCUCAUUAUGUUGCCCAGGCUGGUCUCAAACUCCUGGACUCAGGUGAUCUGCCCUCCUGGGCCUCCCAAAGUGCUGGGAUUACAGGCGUGAGCCAACAUGCCUAGCCAAGUUUAGUACUUUUUCUUUCCUUCUCUUUAUAUGUUUUAUUAUAGGAGUGUCACAGGGCUCACUGCACCUCUCUCCUUAUCUCCCUGGGGCCUCUGCCUCCCAGGUUCAAGCGAUUCUCCUGCCUCAGCCUCCCAGGCAACUGGGAUUACAGGUGCCCACCACCACACCUGGCCAGUGUUUUGUAUUUUUAGUAGAGACGGGGUUUCACCAUGUUGGCCAGGCUGGCCUUGAACUCCUGACCUCUGGUGAUCCACCUGCUUUGGCCUCCCAAAGUUCUGGGAUUAUAGGCGUGAGCCACUGUGCCUGGCCCAAAUAGUUUUUUCGUUUGUUUGUUUUUUUGAGACAGAGUCUCACUCUGUCACCCAGGCUGGAGUGCAAUGGCGUGAUCUUGGCUCACUGCAGCCUCCGCCCCUUGGGUUUAAGCGAUUCUCCCACCUCAGUUUCCCGAGUAGCUGGGAUUACAAGCAUGCACCACCAGGCCCAGCUAAUUUUUAUAUUUUCAGUGGAGACGGGGUUUCACCAUGUUGACCAGGUUGGUCUCAAACUCCAGACCUCAAGUGAUCUGCCUGCCUCGGCCUUCCAAAGUGCUGGGAUUACAGGCGUGAGCCACCACACCUGGCCCCAGCUUGCUUUUUCACUUAACACUUAUUUUGAGAUUUAUUCAUGUCAAUGCAUGUUUCAUAGUUCAUUUAUUUUCACAGCUGAAUAGUAGUUCAUUGUACUAAUAUGUCAGGGUUUAUUCAUUCAUUUUCUAAUUAGCCAGGCACGGUGGUGCACGCCUGUAGUCCAGCUGCUUAGGAAGCUGAGAUGAGAGGAUCAAUUGAGCCUGGGAGGUCAAGGCUGCAGUGAGGCAUGAUCAUGCCACUGCACUCCCGCCUGGGUAACACAGUGAGACCCUGUCUCAAAAAUAAUAUAUAAUUUAAAAAUUUGUUUUCUUGUCAGUGGGCCAUCUGGGUGGUUUCUGGUAUUUUGCCAUUGCAUGCAAUGCUACUGUGAACAUAUUUCUACAUGUCUUAUCUUUAUAUUUCUAUAAGUGUAAUGAAAUCCCCCCAAAAUAGCUCAUUAGCAUUUUAAUUUGCCUUUUCCUUUACUGGUGAGGUUGAGCAUCUUUCCUAUUCCAUUAGCCACUUGUUAUUUCUUUUUAGAGUUGCCUUCUUAGUCUUUGCUCAGUUUUUCCUUGACCUUCCUCUGCUACUUUUCUGUGUCUGCUUUUUCUAGUAUUCCAUACUGCUUCUCUAAACUGAAGAGCUGGAGUUUCUCAAAGGGAAUUGGGAAAAUCCCUGAACAUAUCACCUGGAACUCAUGCAACAACAUAUUUUUUUGAGAACCUAUUCUAGGCCAGCCAUUGUACUAAAUAAGCUAUCCAUGUCUUCAAGGAGCUUAUGAUUUUCUCGGGGGAGAUGAAUGAAUUGUUACAAAAGAAUGGGCUCCUUGUUAAAGUGCAGGAUAUGUAGGUUGCAGUAGGUGCUCUGACUGAGGGAGGAGUGCUGGGAUAAGGGUCGGACCCUCAGAGAGGAGAUACCUUGAAGGCUGAGCAGGAAUUCUCCAAGGAGGCAAGGGAGGAGAGGAUACCCCGGUCGGAGAAAGCAACAUGCGCACCUCUGGGGAGGUGGGAGCACGUAUUGCACUGGAAGACCCGUUAGCAGAAACAGACUUGGCUUUGGAUGCCUUCUACAAUUGGAUCAGGAAAAAGUUGGGGAUAGAGUGCAGGGUACAUUGGGGUACUGGAGGGAGUCAAAACAUUUUAUGUGGUAUAAACUGUGAUGGUCCUGAUCAUAAGGGGACUCUAAUACCAUAAUAAGGAGUUUUUGACUUUUUGUUUUUAAAAACAUUUAAUAGUAACAUAUAUACAGAAAAAUAUGUACAUCACAAAUGUCCAGUCAAGUAAUUUUCACAAACUAGACACAUUCCUGUGAGCAGCACCCAGAUCAAGAAACAAAUCAUUACGGGCACUGCAGAAGCCCCCUCAUGUCCCCUUCUAAUUACCACCUACCUCCACCUCAAGGGUAACCACUAUCCUGACUUCUAAAGUGCAAAUUAUAUUAGUUUUGCUUAUUUUUGUGCUUUUUAUAUAAGUGGAAUCAUACAGUAUACUUUUGUGUCUGGAUUCUUUUGCUUAACAUCUUUGUGAGAUUUACUGAUGUUGCAUGUACAGUGCUUCAUUCUUUUUCAUUGUUGUACAAAGUUCCAUUGUAUGAAUAUAUUACAAUUUAUUCUACUCUUGCUGAACAUGUGGGUAAUUUCUGGUUUGAGGCUAUUUUGAAAAAUGCUACUGUGAACUUUCUAGUAUACAUGCUUUUAUGGGAAACAUAUGUAUGUGCCAGGGCAAAGGGAAAGCCUCUCCUUCACCCUCGGAAGUUUUGCUGAAAAUCACUGACAAAAGAAAAUAGGGAAAAAGGCCCGGGCGCGGUGGCUCACGCCUUUAAUCCCAGCACUUUGGGAAGCCGAGGCGGGUGGAUUACCUGAGGUCAGGAGUUCGAGAGCAGCCUGCCCAACAUGGUGAAACCCCAUCUCUACUAAAAAUACAAAAAUUAGCUGGGUGUGGUGGGACACGCCGGUAAUCCCAGCUACUUGGGAGGCUGAGGCAGGAGAAUUGCUUGAGCCCGGGAGGUGGAGGUUGCAGUGAGCCGAGAUCGUGCCACUGCACUCCAGCCUGGCCGACAGAGCGAGAGGGACUCUGUCUCAAAAAAAAAAAAAAAAAAAAAAAAAAGGCAUACAGAUUUAUUUGAUCAUAGUUUUAGGUGACAUAGGAACCUUCUGAAUGAAGACCCAAAUAUACAGAGGAAAACGUCCAUUAUUUUUAAAUUUUCAAUUUUUAUUAUUUUUUAAAAGCUAGCCUUACUGAAUCAGAAGCAGUCCAUUCUUAGAUUUGAAAAAGUAUAGGCAGCUGUGUAGAAAUAUGAUUGGACAAAAAGGGUAUGAUCUAAUGCUGAGAGACUAAAUGGGGAAACCCAGCAAGGCCUGUCUGUCUAGAUUCUUCUUGACCUCUCUAAGCAUUCCUUCCAGGUGUGAGACAGGGCCCUCUCUGGAAUGGGGGUCUUAUGACUUCAGAUCAAGCAAGGUGGGUCAGAUAAUUUUUUUUUUUUUAGAUGGAGUCUUGCUCUUGUCCCCAGGCUGGAGUGCAGUGGCACGAUCUUGGCUCACAGCAACCUCCACCUCCCAGGUUCAAGCAAUUCUCCUGCCUCAGCCUCCUGAGUAGCUGGGACUACAGGCACCUGACACCACGCCUGGCUAAUUUUUCUAUUUGUAGUAGAGAUGGGGUUUCGCCAUGUUGGCCAGGCUGGUCUCGAACUCCUGACCUCGUGAUCUGCCCACGCCUCCCAAAGUGCUGAGAUUACAGGCAUGAGCCACUGCACCCGGCCAGAUAAUUUCUUUAUAGCUAGCUUUUAAUAGAAAGAGAGGUGGAAAGUCAGAGUAAUAUUUUUAGGUUUUAUGGCUGGCUUUGGGGAAAAGGGGUUCUGGUUUCUAUGACCCACCUUGAGAAGAGGGAUUCUAGUUUCUAUGGCUAGCCCCGGGAUGGGGAGGGGAGGAAUGAAAGGCCAGAAAAGAGGUCAGGAGAAAGUCAGAGAAAACUUUUUUCUUCCGAGGUCUUCAUUUUGGGGUAUCAUAUUCUGAGAUCCUACAUUUGCAUUUCUGUUGGGUAGAGUAACUAGUGGUGGAAUUGCUGUGCCUUAGAGUACUUUUGUGUUUAUCUUUGGUCCAUGCUUCUGAAUUUUCCAGCGAUUGUGUUGCUGCGCAAUCCCAGCAUCAGUGUCUCAGAGUGUCGGUUGUUCCACAUCUGCUGAACACUUCGUAUUUUUUUUUUAUCCAUUUCAUGUUAGUCAUUCUGAUAGGUAUUUUGUGGCAUUGUUUUGUGGUUUUACUUUCCAGCUCUUUGAUAAUGCCUAAUGAAGUUGAACCCCUUGUCAUAUGUUUAAUGACUGUUUGGGUAUCCUCACAAUGAUGUGUCUGUUGGCAUCUUCUGCCUGUUUUUCUAUUGGGCUGCAUGUCUGGCUGGCUGUCUCCCUUUCUUUCUUUAAGUAAACAUUUUAUUUUGAAAUAAUUUUAAAUUUACAGAAAAGUUGCAAAGUAGUACAGAGAACUCUUAUAUACCCUUCAUCCAGUUUUCCCACAAUGUUAACAUCUUAUGUCACCAUGGCACGUUUGUCAUAUAAAGAAAUUAAUGUUGGUACAAUGCUGUUAACAAAGUUGUAGACUAUCUGGGUUUCACCACUUUUUCCACUAAUAUCUUUUUUCUGAUCCAGGAUUCAGUCCAGGAUCCCAUGUUAAUCAUUUUGUUUAGUAGGAAUUCUUUAUAUAUUCUGGACAUCUUUUGUCAGAUAUACAUAUAGUGAAUUUCUUUUGCUCUGUGGGUUGCCAUGCAGUGUUUUUUUAAAUUUUAUUUUAUUGUUAUUGAGACAGAGUCUUGCUCUGUUGCCCAGGUCGGAGUGCAGUGGCACGAUCUUGGCUCACUGCAACCUCUGCCUCCCGGGUUCAGGCAAUUCUCCCGUCUCAGCCUCCUGAGUAGCUGGGACUACAGGCACGUGCUACCACACCCGGCUAAUUUUUGUAUUUUUAGUAGAGAUGGGGUUUCAACAUGUUGGCCAGGCUGGUCUCGAACUCCUGACCUCGUGAUCUACCUACCUUGGCCUCCCCAAAGUGCUGGGACUGUGAACCACUGUGCCCGGCCCCCUUUUUUUUUUUUUUUUUUUUUUUUUUGAGACAGAGUCUCACUCCGUUGCCCAGACUGGAGUGCAAUAGCACAGUCUUGGCUCACUGCAACCUCUGCCUCCAGAGUUCAAGCGAUCCUCCUGCCUCAGCCUCCUGAGUAGCUGGGACUACAGGCAUGUGCCACCACUCCUGGGUAAUUUUUGUAUUUUCAGUAGAGACAGGGUUUCAGCAUGUUGGC
rnacentral:lncRNA from 1 species